UAUUCUGUGGCUUAGUUGGUUAAAGCGCCGGUCUAGCGAAUACGGAGUCGUGGGUUUGAAUCCCACCAGAAUCC
rnacentral:tRNA from 1 species